AAGCGAUGCGGCAGGAGCAGACGACUGCGCGUACAGACAACUCGACACAUGUCGCGGCGCGCGCUCACGAGUUGCAAGUCAUGCUCGCUGCCGGAGCCCAACGCGAAUGCGAAGGCGGCCUCGGAACCUGUAUGACGGAACCGCGAAGAUUCCGUCCACGGGUUAUAAUAUCCAUGAAACUACGGCGAUAGCGCUAACGCCAUUGCAUGUCCAAGAACACAGUGGAAGCAUGUGGAAGCUUCUAGAACAUUCCGAGGUCGGCAGUUGUACGCAGGCUGGAACUUUUUUUUUUAUUCCUUUGGUUUAACCAUCGCCCUCCCGCCGAUCACGGUGAUAACAGCGGCACGGCGGCUAGCGAGCCGGUGACGUAGUUCGACAUUAGACCAAUGAGAGAAGAAAAGAAAUUGCCCGGGUGUAUCAACGCAUGCGCCGAAGAGCUUGGCAUCGCGGUCGUCGAGGGCACAUAACGAGCAUCCGGGGGCUUGGGCCGCCAUUUUGUCUUUUACGUCUGCUUCGGCGUGCGUCGUGUCUGCUGCCUUCUGCGUCGCACCAUACCUCGAGCUCCUGCUAGUCUUUAUUACGCGCUAACAGUGGCAGCGCUUGUCGAAGUUACACGCUGCGCAUCUUCCCGCCUUCGGCCGACUCUGGAAGCACUGGCUUCAUGCCCCGGGGCCUGAAAAACGUGAGGCACGCCUCGAGAGACUUGUUGCCCGACCCGCCAGCCUUUUCCGUCUCGGCAAUUCCUGGCCCCGCUUUCGAGCUCCCGGAGUGUAAGUGACCGCCAGCCGGCAUAACUACGUUACUAAACGCCGACGACACUCCGGUUGAGCCGGCGCAGCGUAUAUGAGCCGCAAGUCGUUCCUGCCGAGUACUCGUUCUUUGUGCGCGUUCCCACCCCCCGACGGCGCCGGGACUAUUGAACUGUGGAUGAACUCUGAGCGUGGCCACUAACCCCAGGACCUGCGCGGCAACCCCUCAUCACGGCGAGCGUCGUCUCUACGAGCUUCGCAUCGAGCGUCCUAAACGCUCAAAAGGCCUGUGUGUGCACUUUGUGCAUUUUUUUCUAGAUGGUCUAGCUGGCGAGGGUGGCGCAUGCCUUAGAGAAGUUAACUGUCUGUUCAGUUGCACUAGCUAGCGCUCACUAGGGUUGUAUAGCUGCACUACAAAAUUCUGUAAAGUUAGUGUUGUUGCUUAGCUGUAAGCCCGAGGUUUUGUGGGCAUGGCUUGCGGCCACACGGGUCUUCUCCGUGCCGGAAUCGAAGAGGACGGGCCACGUGCUGCGGGGUGGCGGUGUAUAGCUUCAGGUUUUAGCUGACACAGAGGGUUAGCUAAAGAGUACGCAGGCAACAGCUGAUAGCCGUCCUCUUACGACUGCGUCAGGGACAUGGACCCAUCCGAACGGCCUUGCGACCCGACCCCACUAUUUCGUGACGUAGAUAGCCCGCGCGCGUGAGUGCGCGUGCUAUCGAGCGAAAUGUGGGAAUGACGGAAGCAAACGGCCUUCGGACAUAACCUCGCCAGCUAUUAGGCACUAACCCGCUCUACGCAGCACCUCGACGCCGGACGUCGCCUGCUGUUCUCGUCGGAGCUGGGCCGGGCAGCAGCUGCAAGCAUCACUCGCACCGCGCCCGGUCUACCAUGUUCCCUCGUCGGUGUUGCCUUGUGGCCCUGUACCGGGAUCCCGAGGUCCGCUUUCGAGAUUGCGGACCACGAGUCGGAAGGAUAUCCUGCGUGCUGCUCCACGUUUGCCAUCCUCCCAACGUCCCCCACCGGAGAUGGCCUUGAGCACCCCUUACCGUGGCUGACCGCGUUGGCUCCUUUGCAUUUCCACGUUCAUGGCGUCCUUCUGCUCCGGGGAACUUCGUUUGCUACUACUGCCCACGUGUAAGAUGGAUAUCCAGCGUGCUGCUCCACGUUUGCCGUCCUCCCAACGUCCCCCUCGGGAGAUGGCCUAGAGCACCGCUCGUACCCUGACCAACCGUUCCACUUCGCCGGUGCGGUCUCGCCGGCAGACGAGAUCGCUCGUCGCCCUUAGC